rnacentral:lncRNA from 1 species
GUAUGGGCUCUCUGUGGGCCACGACUGGUUUCUGGAUCCCCCAGGAACACUAGGGAACUCACAGCCUGGUUCCUCAAGGUGCUAAGGGCCAGAGGGUGCCACCCCCUGAACUAUCCAGCAACUAUCCAGAGAGAAAGGGGACAUGGGGGACUGGCCCUUAACAGGAUGCUGCUGAGGGCCAGGCAGGCGGCUGCCACCUGAGUGGGUGCAAAAUGGCGCCAGGCUCCUUGGGAGGGCGGAGGGCGAGGCCUGUCAUCUGGGCCAGGGGAGGCA